GACGAACGCUGGCGGCGUGCUUAACACAUGCAAGUCGAACGGAAAGGCCCUGCUUUUGUGGGGUGCUCGAGUGGCGAACGGGUGAGUAACACGUGAGUAACCUGCCCUUGACUUUGGGAUAACUUCAGGAAACUGGGGCUAAUACCGGAUAGGAGCUCCUGCUGCAUGGUGGGGGUUGGAAAGUUUCGGCGGUUGGGGCUGGACUCGCGGCUUAUCAGCUUGUUGGUGGGGUAGUGGCUUACCAAGGCUUUGACGGGUAGCCGGCCUGAGAGGGUGACCGGCCACCAUGGGCCUGAGAUACGGACCAGACUCCUACGGGAGGCAGCGGUGGGGAAUAUUGCACAAUGGGCGGAAGCCUGAUGCGGCAACGCCGCGUGCGUGAUGACGGCCUUCGGGUUGUAAACCGCUUUCGCCUGUGACGAAGCGUGAGUGACGGUACUGGGUAAAGAAGCACCGGCUAACUACGUG
rnacentral:rRNA from 1 species